rnacentral:rRNA from 1 species
UACAGAGGUGGCAAGCGUUGUUCGGAAUUACUGGGCGUAAAGGGCGCGUAGGCGGCCUUCUAAGUCAGACGUGAAAUCCCCCGGCUUAACCUGGGAACUGCGUCUGAUACUGGAAGGCUUGAGUGCGGGAGAGGGAUGUGGAGUUCCAGGUGUAGCGGUGAAAUGCGUAGAUAUCGAGAGGAACACCUGCGGCGAAGGCGGGUUGCUGGGCUGACACUGACGCUGAUGCGCGAAAGCCAGGGGAGCGAACGGG